rnacentral:rRNA from 1 species
AUUGAACGCUGGCGGCAUGCCUUACACAUGCAAGUCGAACGGUAACGGGCCUUCGGGUGCCGACGAGUGGCGAACGGGUGAGUAAUACAUCGGAACGUGCCCGAUCGUGGGGGAUAACGAGGCGAAAGCUUUGCUAAUACCGCAUACGAUCUACGGAUGAAAGCAGGGGACCGCAAGGCCUUGCGCGGACGGAGCGGCCGAUGGCAGAUUAGGUAGUUGGUGGGAUAAAAGCUUACCAAGCCGACGAUCUGUAGCUGGUCUGAGAGGAUGAUCAGCCACACUGGGACUGAGACACGGCCCAGACUCCUACGGGAGGCAGCAGUGGGGAAUUUUGGACAAUGGGCGCAAGCCUGAUCCAGCCAUGCCGCGUGCAGGAUGAAGGCCUUCGGGUUGUAAACUGCUUUUGUACGGAACGAAAAGCCUUCUUUUAAUACAGGAGGGUCAUGACGGUACCGUAAGAAUAAGCACCGGCUAAUUACGUG